GACGAACGCUGGCGGCGUGCUUAACACAUGCAAGUCGAGCGGUAAGGCCCUUUCGGGGGUACACGAGCGGCGAACGGGUGAGUAACACGUGGGUGACCUGCCCUCAGCUCGUGGGAUAAGCCCGGGAAACUGGGUCUCAUACCGGAUAUGACUUCAUGACGCAUGUUGUGGAGUGGAAAGCCUUGUGCGGCUGAGGAUGGGCCCGCGGCCUAUCAGCUUGGUUGGUGGGGUGANGGCCUACCAAGGCGACGAC
rnacentral:rRNA from 1 species